CAAUAGCGUAUAUUUAAGUUGCUGCAGUUAAAAAGCUCGUAGUUGGAUUUCGGGUGGGAAUGGCCGGUCCGCCGUUUCGGUGUGCACUUGCUACGCCCACCUUGCUGCCGGGGACGUGCUCUUGAGUUCACGCUCGGGACACGGAGUCGGCGAGGUUACUUUGAGUAAAUUAGAGUGUUCAAAGCAGGCCUCCGCUCUGAAUACAUUAGCAUGGAAUAACACGAUAGGACUCUGGCCUAUCUUGUUGGUCUGUAGGACCGGAGUAAUGAUUAAGAGGGACAGUCGGGGGCAUUCGUAUUUCAUUGUCAGAGGUGAAAUUCUUGGAUUUAUGAAAGACGAACUACUGCGAAAGCAUUUGCCAAGGAUGUUUUCAUUAA
rnacentral:rRNA from 1 species